UACGUAGGGUGCGAGCGUUAAUCGGAAUUACUGGGCGUAAAGCGUGCGCAGGCGGUGAGCUGUGUCCGAUGUGAAAUCCCCGGGCUCAACCUGGGAACUGCAUUUGUGACUGCAUGGCUAGAGUACGGUAGAGGGGGAUGGAAUUCCGCGUGUAGCAGUGAAAUGCGUAGAUAUGCGGAGGAACACCGAUGGCGAAGGCAAUCCCCUGGACCUGUACUGACGCUCAUGCACGAAAGCGUGGGGAGCAAACAGG
rnacentral:rRNA from 1 species